rnacentral:rRNA from 1 species
UACGGAGGGUGCAAGCGUUGUUCGGAAUCACUGGGCGUAAAGCGCGUGUAGGCGGCCUCCUAAGUCUGAUGUGAAAGCCCGGGGCUCACCCCCGGAAGUGCAUUGGAUACUGGGAGGCUGGAGUACCGGAGAGGAGGGUGGAAUUCCUGGUGUAGCGGUGAAAUGCGUAGAUAUCAGGAGGAACACCGGUGGCGAAGGCGGCCCUCUGGACGGAUACUGACGCUGAGACGCGACAGCGUGGGGAGCAAACAGG